rnacentral:rRNA from 1 species
AGCGAACGCUGGCGGCAGGCUUAACACAUGCAAGUCGAGCGGGCGUAGCAAUACGUCAGCGGCAGACGGGUGAGUAACGCGUGGGAACAUACCUCUUGGUUCGGAACAACACAGGGAAACUUGUGCUAAUACCGGAUAAGCCCUUACGGGGAAAGAUUGAUUGCCGAAGGAGCGGCCCGCGUCUGAUUAGCUUGUUGGUGAGGUAAAGGCUCACCAAGGCGACGAUCAGUAGCNGGUCUGAGAGGACGACCAGCCACACUGGGACUGAGACACGGCCCAGACUCCUACGGGAGGCAGCAGUGGGGAAUUUUGGACAAUGGGCGCAAGCCUGAUCCAGCAAUGCCGCGUGAGUGAAGAAGGCCUGG